GUGCUAAGUGUUAGAGGGUUUCCGCCCUUUAGUGCUGCAGCUAACGCAUUAAGCACUCCGCCUGGGGAGUACGGUCGCAAGACUGAAACUCAAAGGAAUUGACGGGGGCCCGCACAAGCGGUGGAGCAUGUGGUUUAAUUCGAAGCAACGCGAAGAACCUUACCAGGUCUUGACAUCCCCUGACAACUCUACAGAUACAGCCGUUCCCCUUUCGGGGACAGAGUGACACGUGGUGCAUGGGUGGCGGCAGCUCGGGUCGGGCGAAGGUGGGGUAACUCCCGCAACGAGCGCAACCCUUGAUCUUAGUUGCCA
rnacentral:rRNA from 2 species